rnacentral:rRNA from 1 species
AGGUACGAUAAUACCGUGCCUAUUUGACAAAGGCUCCAAAGGAAGCCACGGCUAACUCUGUGCCAGCAGCCGCGGUAAUACAGAGGUGGCAAGCGUUGUUCGGAAUUAUUGGGCGUAAAGAGCACGUAGGUGGGUUUGUAAGUCAGGUGUGAAAGCCUUCUGUUCAGCAGGAGAAUUGCAUCUGAAACUGCGAAUCUUGAGUGUAGGAGGGGAGAGUGGAAC